rnacentral:SRP_RNA from 1 species
GCCAGGCAUGGUGGUGCAUGCCUGUAGUCCCAGCUACUUGGGAGGCUGAGGUGGGAGGAUUGCUUGAGCUCAGGAGGUGGAGGCUGCAGUGGGUUAUGGGUUACCACUGCACUCCAGCUUAAGCAACAGAGUGAGACCCUGUCUCUU